AUGCCGAUAAAGACAGUGUGUAUGUUGAAGGGUGACAGCCCAGAGCAGGGUACCAUCCACUUUGAGUAGAAGGAAAAUGAGCCAGUUGUGGUACUGGGAUGCAUUGCAAGAUUGACUGAGGGCCAGCAUGGAUUCCAUGCUCACAAGUUUGGAGAUAAUACACAAGGCUAUACCAGUGCAGGUCCCCACUUUAAUCCCCUAUCUAAAAGACACCGUGGGCCAAAGGAUCAGGAAAGGCAUGAUGAAGACCUGGCAAUAUGACUGUUGGUGAAGAUGGUGUGGCCAUCUCACUCUCAGUGGUGCACAAAAAAAAACAAGAUGACUUGGGCAAUGGUGGAAAUGAAGAAAGUACAAACACUGGAGAUGCUGGAAGUCAUUGGACUUGUGAUGUCAUUGGAAUCACUCGAUAAACAUUCCCUAGGAUGUGGUUGGAAUCCCAGUAGCUUAUCUAUUAAUCCUGCUAGCUGUAGAAAUGCAACUUGAUAAACAUUAAACACUGUAAUGUUACAAGUGUAAUUGUGUGACUUUUUAAAAAUUGUUUUAAGUCCUUGUAAUGAGAAUUGAUUUAUGAUCACUAGGAAGAUUUGCAUAGUUUUAUAAA